rnacentral:rRNA from 1 species
CGGCCGACGGGUGAGUAACACGUGGGCAACCUACCUUUGAGAUUGGGAUAACUACCGGAAACGGUAGCUAAUACCGGAUAGGACAUGAUUACAUAAGUAGUGAUGUUAAAAGGCGGAUUUAUCUGCCGUUCAAAGAUGGGCCUGCGGUGCAUUAGCUAGUUGGUGAGAUAGUAGCUCACCAAGGCGACGAUGCAUAGCCGACCUGAGAGGGUGAUCGGCCACACUGGGACUGAGACACGGCCCAGACUCCUACGGGAGGCAGCAGUAGGGAAUCUUCCGCAAUGGACGCAAGUCUGACGGAGCAACGCCGCGUGAGUGAAGAAGGGUUUCGGCUCGUAAAACUCUGUUGUUAAGGAAGAACACUUGAGGCAGUAACUGGCCUCAAGCUGACGGUACUUAACCAGAAAGCCACGGCUAACUACGUGCCAGCAGCCGCGGUAAUACGUAGGUGGCAAGCGUUAUCCGGAAUUAUUGGGCGUA